CGCUUUUGAUCAAAGUUAUUUGAUAUACAAGACGUGUAUGUAGCAUAAAAAUACUGCGUAGCUGUCCAAAAUCUAAGCGCAAUAAACAGCUAAAGUAUGCGCGUUUAUUGCAAAUAUUGUUGAAACAUAUCCUCAGAAUAUUGAUACAUGUUAAUUACAUCAUUAUUUAAAUGUAUUUGUUCUCUAUCUUUCAUUUUUUCAACGAAAUACUCUUAGAACUUUGGUAAAUACAAUAUGAGUUUAUAUUGUCAAGUUUAGCUUUACCCAGCCAAUGACGUCACCAAAUGUAUUUAUGCAUAAAUUAGCAUACGCGGUUAUUUUCAAAAUGGCGGCUAAUCUUCAAGUUUGUAACGAAUUUUCUCUACAACUAAGUGCGAUAGAAAAACAAAAAUACGAAAUUAAGUAUUCCGUAGGGAAGCUUAAUAGAAAUAGGCAAUAAAAAUUUUGGGUGCCAU